rnacentral:rRNA from 1 species
UCCGUAGGUGAACCUGCGGAAGGAUCAUUAAAAAAACGGGGAGGCGUGUUCACGUUCCUUUUGGAAUCGGGACGCGGCUCCUUUUAGUAUCCAAAUUCAUUAUUUUUGUUUCGGAAUCCGGCUAUCGCAUGCUCGAUUCCCAAAUCGAAUAACAACAAAACUUUCAACAAUGGAUCUCUUGGCUCUUGCAUCGAUGAAGAACGCAGUGAAGUGCGAUAUGUAGUGUGAAUUGCAGAAUUCCGUGAAUCAUCGAAUCUUUGAACGCAAAUUGCACUCUCUGGUAUUCCGGAGAGUAUGCCUAUUUGAGGGUCAUUUAAACGUAAAUUCUAAAUUUCUUAGAAAAAAAUGGGUCUUCCAGAUUUUAUGGUUACCUAAAAUGCAAGACAUGCUCAUCUUUUUGGGUUACGUGAUACGUGUUAUUCGUGACUUUCCGAUAAAGAUGCAGGCGUGUUGGAAUUUUGUAAGAACGAAUUGAAUUUGUUCGCAAAAUAGAAUCAAUUGAAUCUUGACCUCAAAUUAGGUAGGAGUACCCGCCGAACUUAAGCAUAUCAAUAAGCGGAGGAAGUCGACUGCCAAGGGGCACACAGGGGGGGAUA